rnacentral:rRNA from 1 species
UACGAAGGGGGCUAGCGUUGCUCGGAAUCACUGGGCGUAAAGCGCACGUAGGCGGAUCUUUAAGUCAGGGGUGAAAUCCUGGAGCUCAGCUCCAGAACUGCCUUUGAUACUGGGGAUCUCGAGUCCGGGAGAGGUGAGUGGAACUGCGAGUGUAGAGGUGAAAUUCGUAGAUAUUCGCAAGAACACCAGUGGCGAAGGCGGCUCACUGGCCCGGUACUGACGCUGAGGUGCGAAAGCGUGGGGAGCAAACAGG